rnacentral:tRNA from 2 species
GUCUCCUUCGUCUAGAGGCCUAGGACAUCGCCCUUUCACGGCGGUAACACGGGUUCGAAUCCCGUAGGAGACGCCA